CGACGUGGGUCGUGGUGAGGGUAGUGGGUAAAGAAGCACCGGCUAACUACGUGCCAGCAGCCGCGGUAAUACGUAGGGUGCAAGCGUUGUCCGGAAUUAUUGGGCGUAAAGAGCUCGUAGGCGGUUUGUCGCGUCUGCUGUGAAAACGCGAGGCUCAACCUCGCGCCUGCAGUGGGUACGGGCAGACUAGAGUGCGGUAGGGGAGAUUGGAAUUCCUGGUGUAGCGGUGGAAUGCGCAGAUAUCAGGAGGAACACCGAUGGCGAAGGCAGAUCUCUGGGCCGUAACUGACGCUGAGGAGCGAAAGCGUGGGGAGCGAACAGGAUUAGAUACCCUGGUAGUCCACGCCGUAAACGUUGGGAACUAGAUGUAGGGACCAUUCCACGGUUUCUGUGUCGCAGCUAACGCAUUAAGUUCCCCGCCUGGGGAGUACGGUCGCAAGACUAAAACUCAA
rnacentral:rRNA from 1 species